rnacentral:rRNA from 1 species
GACGAACGCUGGCGGCGUGCCUAAUACAUGCAAGUCGAGCGGACUUGACAGAGCUUGCUCUGUUCAAGUUAGCGGCGGACGGGUGAGUAACACGUGGGCAACCUGCCCUGCAGAUUGGGAUAACUCCGGGAAACCGGGGCUAAUACCGAAUAACAUUGAAAACCUCAUGGUUUUCUUUUAAAAGGCGGCUUCGGCUGUCACUGCAGGAUGGGCCCGCGGCGCAUUAGCUAGUUGGUGAGGUAACGGCUCACCAAGGCAACGAUGCGUAGCCGACCGGAGAGGGUGAUCGGCCACACUGGGACUGAGACACGGCCCAGACUCCUACGGGAGGCAGCAGUAGGGAAUCUUCCGCAAUGGACGAAAGUCUGACGGAGCAACGCCGCGUGAGUGAAGAAGGUUUUCGGAUCGUAAAACUCUGUUGUUAGGGAAGAACAAGUAUCGGAGUAACUGCCGGUACCUUGACGGUACCUGACCAGAAAGCCACGGCUAACUACGUGCCAGCCGCCGCGGUAAUAC